AUGGGUCAUGUGAUGAUCAGAAGCAUAGUUCAAAUGAUAUCCUUGUGAUUAUAUAUAAUUUGAAUGUCUUUCGCUCCUAUCUGAUGACUCCU